UUGUAUAUUAGGGAAGUACAGUGGUGCCUCGCAAGACGAAAUUAAUUCGUUCCGCGAGUUUUUUCGUCUAGCGAAUUUUUCGUCUUGCGAAGCACGAAAUCCCAUAGGAAUGCAUUGAAAUCCAAUUAAUGUGUUCCUAUGGUCAAAAAAAGUCCAAACAAAGCCAAAUUUGGUACAACAAGAGUUUAUUAAGUGCUCUUUAAAGUCACACAUACUGUAAAGAGCAUUUCAAAAAUCGAAGGAACAAUAAAUUAAGUUUCUAAACAUGACAGGAAAAACAUUUAAAAAUCAACAAAGUGUACAUUACAUUUUCUAAGACUCUGGGGGACCACUCGAAGAAGGUUCCUCUUCCACUCUUUGCUUCUUGCUUAAGAACCUGUCCAUGGUCUGCUGAUUCAUCCGCCGUUUCAGCACCUCCCUGAAAGACGACAUGACCCUCGUAUCAAAAGUGUUCGCAAGGUCACGUGUCACGUGCUUGUUAGGGUGGUUCCGCUCUGCAAAAGCCUGCACAUCCUUCCACUUCAGGCAAAUGUCCCUCAGUUCUUUGGAGGACAGCCGUUCCUCAGUUGCUUCCUCCUCUUCCAGCGAGGCCUGCUCCUGCGCAGCCUCUGCCUGCAGUUCGACCAGCUCCUGGGUGGUCAGCUCAUGGUCGUGCUCCUCCACCAGCUCGCUGACGUCCUCCUCUGUGACCUCCAGGCCCAUGGUCCUCCCCAAGGCAACAAUGUCCUGCACCACUGUUGACUCUGGUGCAUCAGAGUCACUUGGUGCCACACAGUUAGGCCACAGGCUGCGCCAAGCGCAAUUCAAAUUUCUCUGGCUGAUCCCUUUUCAGGCCGUGGUGAUCAUCUUCAAGCAGGUGACGAUGUUGAAGUGGUCCUUCCAGAAUUCCCGCAGGGUGAUGGUGGUGCAAUCAGUCACCUCGAAGCAUCGCCUGAAAAGCUCCUUGGUGUAGAGUUUUUGAAAUUGGCGAUGACCUGCUGAUCCAUCGGCUGGAGCAGUGGCGUGGUGUUAGGCGGCAGGAACAUGAUGUUGAUGAAGCUGAACUCCUCCAACAAGUCCUCCUCAAGGCCUUUAGGAUGAGCAGGAGCAUUGUCCAUUAGAAGCAAAGCCUUCAGUGGCAGGUCGUUGUUUGACAGCAGGGCCAAAAGCAAGAUUGACCCAGUCCACAAACAGCAUACGUGUGACCCAAGCCUUACUGUUGGAUCGCCACAUGACACUCAGCUGCUCCUUGUCGACCUUGUGUUUCUUGAAGGCCCGUGGGUUCUCCGAGUGGUACACCAGCAGGGGCUUGAUCUUCAGGUCGCUGCUUGCGUUGGCACAGAAGAGCAGGGUCAGACGGUCCUUCAUGGGCUUGUGGCCAGGCAACUUGGCCUCCUCCUGAGUGAUGAAAGUCCUUUUGGGCAUCCUCUUCCAAAACAGCCCGGUCUCGUCGCAGUUGAAGACCUGCUGUGGAACGUAGCCCUCCGUCUUCACAACCUCCAGGAACUCCAAGGCAAAGUCUUCAGCCGCAGGAACAUCAGAACUGGCAGCCUCUCCAUGCCUGACCACGCUGUGGAUUCCAGAUCUCGUCUUGAACCGGUCAAACCAGCCUCUGCUUGCCUUGAAGACUUCUGGCUCGCCUGAGGCUCCUGGCUGUUCCCGGAUGAGGUCUGCGUGCAAGGCCUUGGCCUUCUCACAAAUCACGGCCUCAGUCACUGUGUCCCCUGCACGCUGCUUCUCUUCUAACCAGAUGAGGAGCAACUUCUCGACCUCCUCCAGAACAGCUGGGCGGUUCUUCACGAUCCUGGUGACUCCCUUGGCUGCAUCAGUCGCAAGGAUCUUCUUCCUCAUCUUCAGGAUGGUGCCGAUGGUCGAUGGGUUCCUGCCGUACUCCCUGGCGAGGUCUGUCACACGCAUUCCACCGUCGUGCUUCCGGAUGAUCUCCUUCUUCAUUUCCAGUGUCACCUUCUCCUUCUUCCUCUCGCCGGCCUCUGCAGCAGCAGUCUUCUUGGGUCCCAUGGCAGCACAGCUCCUAGCUUCGUAAACUCAGGGGGGGAAAAAAUCAGUGAUUCACACCCAAAAAAUUCAAAAGCACCCAGCCACCCACCACACAGGAAUUCAAACCCAGAACCAAAUCCUUGAAUUCCAAGCACCCAACCC
rnacentral:lncRNA from 1 species